GCUAAAGCUCGAAGGUGCGGGUAUCGAACAGGAUUAGAUACCCUGGUAGUCCGCACGGUAAACGAUGGAUGCCCGCUGUUUGCGAUAUACUGUGAGCGGCCAAGAGAAAUCGUUAAGCAUCCCACCUGGGGAGUACGCCGGCAACGGUGAAACUCAAAGGAAUUGACGGGGGCCCGCACAAGCGGAGGAACAUGUGGUUUAAUUCGAUGAUACGCGAGGAACCUUACCCGGGCUUGAACUGCAGGAGAAGGAUACAGAGAUGUUGACGCCCUUCGGGGCUCCUGUGGAGGUGCUGCAUGGUUGUCGUCAGCUCGUGCCGUGAGGUGUCGGCUUAAGUGCCAUAACGAGCGCAACCCUUUUCUUCAGUUGCCAUCAGGUUAAGCUGGGCACUCUGGAGACACUGCCACCGUAAGGUGUGAGGAAGGUGGGGAUGACGUCAAAUCAGCACGGCCCUUACGUCCGGGGCUACACACGUGUUACAAUGGGUGGUACAGAGAGUCGGUCGUCUGCAAAUGCGAUCCAAUCCUUAAAGCCAUCCUCAGUUCGGAUUGGGGUCUGCAACCCGACCCCAUGAAGCUGGAUUCGCUAGUAAUCGCGCAUC
rnacentral:rRNA from 1 species